GACGAACGCUGGCGGCGUGCCUAAUACAUGCAAGUCGAGCGGACUUGACAGAGCUUGCUCUGUUCAAGUUAGCGGCGGACGGGUGAGUAACACGUGGGCAACCUGCCCUGCAGAUUGGGAUAACUCCGGGAAACCGGGGCUAAUACCGAAUAACAUGGAAAACCUCAUGGUUUUCUUUUAAAAGGCGGCUUCGGCUGUCACUGCAGGACGGGCCCGCGGCGCAUUAGCUAGUUGGUGAGGUAACGACUCACCAAGGCAACGAUGCGUAGCCGACCUGAGAGGGUGAUCGGCCACACUGGGACUGAGACACGGCCCAGACUCCUACGGGAGGCAGCAGUAGGGAAUCUUCCGCAAUGGACGAAAGUCUGACGGAGCAACGCCGCGUGAGUGAAGAAGGUUUUCGGAUCGUAAAACUCUGUUGUUAGGGAAGAACAAGUAUCGGAGCAACUGCCGGUACCUUGACGGUACCUGACCAGAAAGCCACGGCUAACUACGUGCCAGCCGCCGCGGUAAGAC
rnacentral:rRNA from 1 species